AUGGUUUCCGCCGACGCAGCUCGCAACAUGGUCGGCAUCAUCGGCAAUGUCAUCACCUUUGGCCUCUAUCUCUCCCCUGCGCCGACGUUCUGGAGGAUAUGCGCGGCCAAGGACGUGGAGAAGUUCAAGCCGGACCCUUUUUUUGCGACGCUGCUCAACUGCUUGCUCUGGGUCUUCUACGGCCUCCCCAUCGUCCACCCCAACAGCACGCUCGUCGUCACCAUCAACGGCAUCGGCCUCGCCGUCGAGGCCGUCUACCUUGUCAUCUUCUUCAUCUACUCCACCAUCAAAAAGAGGUGCUCUAACCUGAUCGUGCUCGUCAUGGAGGCGGCGUUCAUGGUGGCCGUGGUGAUCGGCGUGCUCCACGGCACCCACACUCAUGAGAAGCGCUCCAUGAUCGUCGGCAUCCUUUGCGUCAUCGUCGGCUGCAUCAUGUAUGCCUCCCCGCUCACCAUCAUUAGUAAAGUGAUCAGGACCAAGAGUGUGGAGUAGAUGCCAUUCUUGCUGUCGCUGGUGAGCUUCCUCAACGGCUGCUGCUGGACGACCUAUGCGCUCAUCAAGUUCGAUCUCUACGUUAUGAUCCCCAAUGGCCUCGGUACAUUUCUCGGCCUCGUCCAGCUGAUCCUAUACUUCUUCUAGUACAAAACGACCCCCAAGAAGGAAAAGAUUGUCGAGCUGCCCACCGUCGUUGUUGACGGUAUUCCGCGGCAAUCCUGGCGGGUUCCUGAUUCUGGUAUGUAUUUCCUUCUGGGUCCCUGCUCGUCGGUGGUGCGUCGCCUUCGAGCCUAG
rnacentral:rRNA from 1 species